GCCUGGGUGGCUCAGUCGGUUAAGCGUCUGACUUCGGCUCAGGUCAUGAUCUCGCGGUCCGUGAGUUCGACCCCCGCGUCAGGCC
rfam:Felis catus isolate Cinnamon breed Abyssinian chromosome E1, whole genome shotgun sequence.